CCGGGCCUCCCCGCGACUCCGUGCGGCGCCCCCCGCCCGCGCUCCCGCCCGCGGACAGUCCCGGAGCGACGGGGGCUGCGCUCCCAGCCGCCGCCGCCGCCCCCGCGCCGCGCGCUCCCGAGGCCCCAACAGCACACAGAACUUACUAUGAACAUUUUGCUGAAUGUCAGUUUUUCUGAGAGGGGGCUCUGGCAAACAGUAACUGAACUCUGCCAUCGACAUAAGCUCUGUUGAAAGAUGCCGGAAAGCAAAGACCACGUCUGCAAAACACUGGAGCUGGAGCUGCCAUGUGUGCAGCAGGUCGGGGAGAAGCCCACCUCAGCUCCGCUUCCUGGCCACCGAAGACCAAGUCUGGAUCCCAGGUGGCAACUUUUAAGUGAAAAUUGCAACUUGUGUAUCCUGGACUGAGCUAAACCCUGACAUGUUCCACAGAGUUCCAAAGGCCCAGGAUCGAAUCCAUGAGAAUGCAAGAACUUCCACAGACACAAGCACCCUGCGCACUUCCUCGCUGAACCCUUUCAAUUGAGUAUUUGCUGAGGCCUCACUGGAAAGGGGUUUCCCUGGCCUUUUAUUCUUCCCCGGCCCUUCCCCACAUGCCCUCCCUCAAAGCUACAGUGAGCUGUGCAGGGGGCACAAGAACCACGGGGAACAAGUUGCAGCGCCAUGAAAUCGGGACCAUGUGGUUCACCUCACCCGAAUGCACUCCCCCAUUUUGCAGGUGAGCAAACUGAGGUCUAAAGAGUUAAUUCAAGUCAUGCUUCCAUCUCUGCCAUCUCCUGUCAGUCUUCACUCUGUUACACUUGCUGACUACUUAGGGCCUUUUAUCCUCUUUUCUCACAACAGCCUAGGCCCUAGGGCAGUGGUCGGCAAACUGCGGCUCCUUGAGUAUGGCUCUUCCACAAAAUACCACAUGCGGGUGCACACGUAUAGUGCGAUGGAAAGUUCGUGCCACACUCAAGGGGCCAAAGAGCCGCAUGUGGCUCUCGAGCCACAGUUUGCCGACCACUGCCCUAGGGGAUCCCUUAAAUUAUCCUAAUUCCCUUUGCUAUGCUGAAAUGGAGAAUAAAGUCAGGGAAGGUUAAGGGAAGGGUAUACCUAUUUUCUAAAACGCCUCUCUUCUCAACCACAGAAUUGGGUCUGGGACUAGGUCUGGUCCUCUGGGGGGCAUUGCUGUACAAGCUGUUCAUUGAGCCUGGUGUGUGCUGUGUGUGGCCUGUGUGCUGUUCUGUAAUGCCACGAACCUCCCAGGUGGGCAGGGCUUCCCUGAGGAGAUGAGGCUGGGAUCAGCCAUCACUGAUGACGGAGAGGAGGCUGGACAUGGUCAGAUGAGGGGAAGAGCCUGUGAGGUGAGCCAGGGUGCAGGCAUGGCCAUGAAGGCUGGAUGUGGUGGUGGUGGGAGCAGCCCAGGGGUGGGGUUUGAGGGCUGUGGGUGCUCGGCCCUGGAGGUGACCUUGAUCCAGCAGAAAGAGGGGUCUGUGCCAGGCCCUGGGGUCCUGGAGGGCAGGGAGAGGAUUCCUUCAUUGCUUCUCCAGAACCUUUGCUCUCCCCGCCCCCAGGGCUAGAACUCAGAACUCCGAACCUCCCCUACCAGGGCAGGGAGACCCAUUGGAAACUGGACUGAUGGCCUCUAUAUGCUUCUCUGCCAAAUGAACUCUGACAUAGGCUUUGUUUCAAUAACUCAUCUAGUUUUUAUGUUUUUUCACUUUUUUGUUAGUUCUUAGCCUUAGUGAGUAAUAGUCAUGAACUUUAUUUUUAAGAGACACAGACAAUAGCGCAUGGAAGGCUCAUUGCAAGUGCAUGCCUUCCCUUCCACCCGCUGGAGGCUGUGAGCAGUGACUAAGAGAGGGUGUGGGACAGGCUGGGUCAUCCCACACAUGGAGUGCACG